rnacentral:rRNA from 1 species
AACGAACGCUGGCGGCAGGCUUAACACAUGCAAGUCGAGCGCCCCGCAAGGGGAGCGGCAGACGGGUGAGUAACGCGUGGGUAUCUACCCAUCUCUACGGAAUAACGCCUGGAAACGUGUGCUAAUACCGUAUACGUCCUUCGGGAGGAAGAUUUAUCGGAGAUGGAUGAGCCCGCGUUGGAUUAGCUAGUUGGUGGGGUAAAGGCCUACCAAGGCGACGAUCCAUAGCUGGUCUGAGAGGAUGAUCAGCCACACUGGGACUGAGACACGGCCCAGACUCCUACGGGAGGCAGCAGUGGGGAAUAUUGGACAAUGGGCGCAAGCCUGAUCCAGCCAUGCCGCGUGAGUGAUGAAGGCCCUAGGGUUGUAAAGCUCUUUCACCGGUGAAGAUAAUGACGGUAACCGGAGAAGAAGCCCCGGCUAACUUCGUGCCAGCAGCCGCCGUAACAC